UGCGUAGGCGGAUUAAUAAGUCAGUGGUGAAAACCUGCAGCUUAACUGUAGAACUGCCAUUGAUACUGUUAGUCUUGAGUACGGUCAAGGUAGGCGGAAUGUGUAAUGUAGCGGUGAAAUGCUUAGAUAUUACACAGAACACCGAUUGCGAAGGCAGCUUACUGGACCAUUACUGACGCUGAGGCACGAAAGCGCGGGGAGCGAACAGGAUUAGAUACCCUGGUAGUCC
rnacentral:rRNA from 1 species